rnacentral:rRNA from 1 species
UACGUAGGGUGCGAGCGUUAAUCGGAAUUACUGGGCGUAAAGCGUGCGCAGGCGGUGCUGUAAGACCGAUGGGAAAUCCCCGGGCUUAACCUGGGAACUGCAUUGGUGACUGCAGCGCUGGAGUAUGGCAGAGGGGGGUGGAAUUCCACGUGUAGCAGUGAAAUGCGUAGAGAUGUGGAGGAACACCGAUGGCGAAGGCAGCCCCCUGGGCCAAUACUGACGCUCAUGCACGAAAGCGUGGGGAGCAAACAGG